rnacentral:rRNA from 2 species
CAUGGUUAAGUGGGAAACGAUGUGGGAAGGCCCAGACAGCCAGGAUGUUGGCUUAGAAGCAGCCAUCAUUUAAAGAAAGCGUAAUAGCUCACUGGUCGAGUCGGCCUGCGCGGAAGAUGUAACGGGGCUAAACCAUGCACCGAAGCUGCGGCAGCGACGCUUAUGCGUUGUUGGGUAGGGGAGCGUUCUGUAAGCCUGUGAAGGUGUGCUGUGAGGUAUGCUGGAGGUAUCAGAAGUGCGAAUGCUGACAUAAGUAACGAUAAAGCGGGUGAAAAGCCCGCUCGCCGGAAGACCAAGGGUUCCUGUCCAACGUUAAUCGGGGCAGGGUGAGUCGACCCCUAAGGCGAGGCCGAAAGGCGUAGUCGAUGGGAAACAGGUUAAUAUUCCUGUACUUGGUGUUACUGCGAAGGGGGGACGGAGAAGGCUAUGUUGGCCGGGCGACGGUUGUCCCGGUUUAAGCGUGUAGGCUGGUUUUCCAGGCAAAUCCGGAAAAUCAAGGCCGAGGCGUGAUGACGAGGCACUACGGUGCUGAAGCAACAAAUGCCCUGCUUCCAGGAAAAGCCUCUAAGCAUCAGGUAACAUCAAAUCGUACCCCAAACCGACACAGGUGGUCAGGUAGAGAAUACCAAGGCGCUUGAGAGAACUCGGGUGAAGGAACUAGGCAAAAUGGUGCCGUAACUUCGGGAGAAGGCACGCUGAUACGUAGGUGAAGCGACUUGCUCGUGGAGCUGAAAUCAGUCGAAGAUACCAGCUGGCUGCAACUGUUUAUUAAAAACACAGCACUGUGCAAACACGAAAGUGGACGUAUACGGUGUGACGCCUGCCCGGUGCCGGAAGGUUAAUUGAUGGGGUUAGCGCAAGCGAAGCUCUUGAUCGAAGCCCCGGUAAACGGCGGCCGUAACUAUAACGGUCCUAAGGUAGCGAAAUUCCUUGUCGGGUAAGUUCCGACCUGCACGAAUGGCGUAAUGAUGGCCAGGCUGUCUCCACCCGAGACUCAGUGAAAUUGAACUCGCUGUGAAGAUGCAGUGUACCCGCGGCAAGACGGAAAGACCCCGUGAACCUUUACUAUAGCUUGACACUGAACAUUGAGCCUUGAUGUGUAGGAUAGGUGGGAGGCUUUGAAGUGUGGACGCCAGUCUGCAUGGAGCCGACCUUGAAAUACCACCCUUUAAUGUUUGAUGUUCUAACGUGGACCCGUGAUCCGGGUUGCGGACAGUGUCUGGUGGGUAGUUUGACUGGGGCGGUCUCCUCCUAAAGAGUAACGGAGGAGCACGAAGGUUGGCUAAUCCUGGUCGGACAUCAGGAGGUUAGUGCAAUGGCAUAAGCCAGCUUGACUGCGAGCGUGACGGCGCGAGCAGGUGCGAAAGCAGGUCAUAGUGAUCCGGUGGUUCUGAAUGGAAGGGCCAUCGCUCAACGGAUAAAAGGUACUCCGGGGAUAACAGGCUGAUACCGCCCAAGAGUUCAUAUCGACGGCGGUGUUUGGCACCUCGAUGUCGGCUCAUCACAUCCUGGGGCUGAAGUAGGUCCCAAGGGUAUGGCUGUUCGCCAUUUAAAGUGGUACGCGAGCUGGGUUUAGAACGUCGUGAGACAGUUCGGUCCCUAUCUGCCGUGGGCGCUGGAGAACUGAGGGGGGCUGCUCCUAGUACGAGAGGACCGGAGUGGACGCAUCACUGGUGUUCGGGUUGUCAUGCCAAUGGCACUGCCCGGUAGCUAAAUGCGGAAGAGAUAAGUGCUGAAAGCAUCUAAGCACGAAACUUGCCCCGAGAUGAGUUCUCCCUGACCCUUUAAGGGUCCUGAAGGAACGUUGAAGACGACGACGUUGAUAGGCCGGGUGUGUAAGCGCAGCGAUGCGUUGAGCUAACCGGUAC